rnacentral:rRNA from 1 species
CAGUAGCCGCGGGAAUACGGAAGGUCCAGGCGUUAUCCGGAUUUAUUGGGUUUAAAGGGAGUGUAGGCGGUCUGUUAAGCGUGUUGUGAAAUUUAGGUGCUCAACAUUUAACUUGCAGCGCGAACUGGCGGACUUGAGUGCACGCAACGUAUGCGGAAUUCAUGGUGUAGUGGUGAAAUGCUUAGAUAUCAUGACGAACUCCGAUUGCGAAGGCAGCGUACGGGAGUGUUACUGACGCUUAAGCUCGAAGGUGCGGGUAUCGAACAGGAUUAGAUACCCCGGUAGUCCCUGUCUCUUAUAC